rnacentral:rRNA from 1 species
CCUACGGGAGACUGCAGUGGGGAAUAUUGCACAAUGGGCGAAACCCUGAUGCAGCAACGCCGCGUGAGUGAAGAAGGUGCUCAGAUUUGUAAGCUCCUUUUGCAGGGAAGAGGAAGGACGGUACCUGCACAGGAAGCCACGGCUAACUACGUGCCAGCAGCCGCGGUAAUACGUAGGGGGCAAGCGUUGUUCGGAAUAACUGGGCGUAAAGGAUGCGUAUGGGGUUAAACAAGUUAUAUGUUAAAUAUAUAGGCUUAAACUGUAGAAAGCAGAUAAAACUGGUUAACUAGAGUGCAGGAGAGGUAAGUGGAAUGCGUAGUGUAGCGGUGAAAUGCGUAGAGAUUACGAAGAACACCGGUGGCGAAGGCAACUUACUGGACUGGAACUGACGCUGAGGCAUGAGAGCAUGGGGAGCGAACAGGAUUAGAUACCCUAGUAGUC